UUAUGGCCACAUCUGGUUGAAACACCAGUUCUCAGAUGAUCACCAAAGUUAAGCAAUGUCGAGCCUGGUCAAUACCUAGGUGGGUGACCACUAGGGAAUACUACAUUCUGUA